AAACUGACCUGACUAAGGUUAGGGCAGGUGGGAGGAGUGGAGCUAAGAGUAAUAAUAAGGGCGAAUUUUCCAGGUGGGAGGUAGAGCGCCCAGCAACUGUGCCAAGAAGACAAGUUGAAAAUGAACAACUGUGUGGGUGGUUUUUAUCUGAGGAUUUAAGGAAAGCCAGGCAGGGGCUGGUAGCUUGUCCUCCAUUCCUGGAGCAAAGAGGUCACUAAUGAGAGUCCAAAGAGAAUCACAGCAGCAGCCAUCGAAACUCCUCUUGAACAGACCGAGGAACAUCCCUGAUCUCAGCAGGGAGCUGAGGCAGGAGGAUCAUGAGUCACAGAUUUGGGCUCCCUGAUGCCAUCACCCCAGUCUCUGCCUAUGUCAUCACGUGGCCUUCUCCCCGGGUCGGAGGACCACAGACACUGGUGGGAAGCUUGAUCCAGGAUCUUCCAUUUCUAUUUGAUCCCAUUGGCAAGGCCCAAUUUCCAAGGGACCAUCCCUCAUCCCUCCCAUGAGGAAGAGAUUCUCGGCCACUCCAGAGUCUUCCUCUAGAGGGCGCUCAGCCACCCUGGAAGUGCUCAGCUCCUUGAGGGGCACAGCCUCACCCAGACAUCAAGCACUCACGCCUGCUACCGGACGGCAGGGAUGGAGGCUCUAGGUCCAACUUUUGUGGUUGACAGAGGAAUAAACGAAGACUCAAAGACAGACAGCGGCUUCCUGAGGUCACAUGGGUGACUGAGAACCAGAGUUAGACCUGCACCCAGAACUCUUCUUCCCCCUGCUGUCUACAGGGAGCACCUUGUGGACAGACUUUUAUUCUAUAAAGAAACAGAAUCAUUACCCAACACCCUCCCUUGUUGUUAUCCAUAGCAAAAUAAAAAGCUGCUCCCUCCAGAGAGGUGACAGCAGCACUGGAGCCCAGUGGAGGACUUGCUGGAAGGCCUUAGUUCUGGCUCUCAGAGUCAGCUGUCACCCUCUUCUUCAGACUCUCCCUCAGACUCACGUGCGACCUUGGGCAGGUCAUCCUCCCGGUUCCCCGCUGGAAUCUUCCCGACCUGGCAUCCCACGUGAAUUUGAUGGUCACUUUGAAUUCAGCCAUCUCAUUCCCAAACAGCUUCAGGACAUGGGCCUGCUUUGUGGUCAGCACAUCACCUACUUUGCGUACUUAAUAGUCAGACAGCAGGGUCUCCACACCUUUCUUGAGGGCAGUGGGCAGCCCCAGCUGCCUCAGCUGUGGCUCCGUGGAAUGAGGGAGCUGCUUCAGGGGCCCUGGAUCCAGCGCAGUUAAAGUUGCCUUGUUCCCAGCUCUGUGUGAACCACUCAUUCACCGCCUUCUUCCUGCGGGUGGUAAAAAGGAGCCCAGCUUCACCUCUCAACUCCCUGCUGACCUGAUGUAGGUUGUCUGAUGGCUUCGACCCAAGGCCACCAUCAUCACCUUGUGUUUGCUGUGCUUCCAGGCAUUCCCAUGUCCCUCAGCUUGCUCUUCCUCAUGUUAGCCACAGAGAAGAUGAAGAAAGAGGUGCUUGUAGGCACCCACACAUUUCCAAAGUUGUUCUAUCAGGUUCUGCUUCAGUUACAAGCCUUGGCAGUUUCUGUUAAGGAAACUUUCGUGUUUCGCUUGAAUUUGGGCACUGUGCUAAAGGCAUGUACCGCAACUGGACCUCUUGAGCCCUUCAGUCAGCGUCCUCAUAGUUCUAGAGCACUAUGGGAGGGACGGUCUACCCAACUGUCCAUCCUCGGGCACAUUAUGCUACACACACACACACACACACACACACUCACACACUCAGCCCCACACCUAGUUACAAUACCACCUCACUUAACCAACUUCCCUACCACUUAAGCCUACACACUCAGGGAUGGAAAGAAAUCACAGGCAGCCACUCUCCCACUGUGUUAACUUCCUGAAGCUGCACUAACAAUUGACCACACUCUGGGGUUUGCAUCAUUUGUAGUCCUUGAGAGGCAGAAAUCCACAGUGAUUUGCUUGUGGAUAAAAGCCUUUGGGAGGCUCUUCCGGCUUCCUGAGGCUUCAGCCUCCCUUGGCUCAAGGCUCCUUCAUUAGGUCUCUUCUGUAACUCCUGCUAUUGGCGCCUUCCCAAUUCUUGCCUUAUGGGAGUAUCUCUGUGACUAUGGUAGAUUCCCUGGCUCCUUAACAACACCUGAAGUCCUUUUUGACGCACCCUGAGCACUGGAUGGAGGACUUGGAAGUUCUCAGGGGCCAUUAUUCAUGUCUGAUUUUAUGUGGGUUCUUUCUUUCUUUCUUUCUUUCUUUCUUCUUUCUUUCUUCCUUCCUUCCUUUCAGUUUAAAAAUUUAACACUACUUGCUUAUGUUUUUGUGUGGAUUAAAAACAUUAGUGAUUAA